UCCAGGGUAGCCUAGUGGUCAUGGCAUCUGCCCGGUAAGCGGAACACUGUGGGUUCGAUUCCCAUCCCUGGAC